ensembl:lncRNA
AAAUUGUCGAAAUAAUUAACGACAAAAAGUACAACAAAUGGGAUACACUGUUGGUAAAACUCUCCUAGCCGGCUAACUUCCAGCAGGAGGAGACAGAAUCAUCUGAGGGAGCUGGAUGUGGUGCAGCCACAAGGAUCCAGACCAGAGAGUGAAGGGGAGCAAGCCGAGCAUCAGGACACACAUCAGACAGAACAGGUAAUGCAGUGAAUGACCAUAAUCCCAUGUUGAAACAGCGUGAUCACCAUUCAGGUAAUGACACCGCAGGAAGGAGUCAGUCAGCAAACCUCCUGGGUCUCGACUGUCGCUGAUCGUACCGACACUCUGCUGAGCUCUGAAGGAGCCCUUGACAUGAGGGAUUACCUCACCGACUUGUAAAAGAUGCCCUGAAAUAUGAGAUCUUGUAACAUAUUGCUGGAUUUCCUGAAUUCAACACUCAGUGAAGACCAUAUAAACUUUCGCCAGUGUAAUUAAAAACUUCACUUCUCUGUGCAGCCUUGAAGCCAUGCAAUAGUUCUGAAUCAGUUUCACACAUUUUUGUUAACAACAGUUCAAAAGGUCACUAGAAAAAAAAAUCGAACAACCAACUUUUUAGUGGAAUAUUGAUUCGUCAUGGGAAUGAUAUU